rnacentral:rRNA from 1 species
GACGAACGCUGGCGGCGUGCCUAAUACAUGCAAGUCGAACGCUUCUUUCCUCCCGAGUGCUUGCACUCAAUUGGAAAGAGGAGUGGCGGACGGGUGAGUAACACGUGGGUAACCUACCCAUCAGAGGGGGAUAACACUUGGAAACAGGUGCUAAUACCGCAUAACAGUUUAUGCCGCAUGGCAUAAGAGUGAAAGGCGCUUUCGGGUGUCGCUGAUGGAUGGACCCGCGGUGCAUUAGCUAGUUGGUGAGGUAACGGCUCACCAAGGCCACGAUGCAUAGCCGACCUGAGAGGGUGAUCGGACACACUGGGACUGAGACACGGCCCAGACUCCUACGGGAGGCAGCAGUAGGGAAUCUUCGGCAAUGGACGAAAGUCUGACCGAGCAACGCCGCGUGAGUGAAGAAGGUUUUCGGAUCGUAAAACUCUGUUGUUAGAGAAGAACAAGGACGUUAGUAACUGAACGUCCCCUGACGGUAUCUAACCAGAAAGCCACGGCUAACUACGUG